rnacentral:misc_RNA from 1 species
AGAGACAUUGAUAUAGAACUGUAUGUUGGUUUGAACCAGACUGAGGCUCACUUCAUUGCAAGCCUCCAUAACAGGAAAUGUAUCACAAGGGAAGUGACUUUUCAGGAGAAGGUAAAACUCUGUCAACAAAUUUACAACUUGUACAAAGAUACACCAGAAAACUGGAAGAAUGUGGCGACAGUAUCAUUGGGCUACUUGUGUGGAAAGACAAUAACCAAAGACAGCAUAAGUGAUAUUAUCAGCAGCAAGCUACAGCGAGGAGAACUUUGGUCUUGUGGAAAACAUUUUCAACCAAUACCAGACAAGAAAUGCAUACUGCAGUUACCCGCAAAAGCUAUUCAGAAGUCCCUUGCCCCUUAGUGAAGAGUCCAGGACCCCUUACCUAUCCAGAGCAAUUGGGACAAACGGGCUCAAACAAUCCAAACAAGCUGAAGAAGAUAAAUCCAAACAAAACCUGAAAAACCUCUUUGUACAACAUCUUGACCUGGACAACUGGGAAGAAGCAGAGGAGCUUUAUCCUGAUGAAGUUAUAGAGCUUCUGGAGUUUGCCGAUCUGCAUACAACACCAAAGAAGGUGCCUGUGAGAAUUUUGGAUUUCUUGAAGACAGUCAAAGAUGGUGCAACUCGGAAUACACCACAUGUCACUGUGGAAGUAUGCAUAAAGGUUGAUGGAGUAGAAAGCAGUGGACAAAAAAUUACAUCAAUUAAACAACGUUAUGAAAACAAAAUAAAACGGGAAAUCUGCAAAAUAAAAAGUGCUGAGGAAUAAGGGAAGAUUUUUUCAAUUAAGAUAUAAUUAUUAACAAAACUGUGCAUUCACCCUACCUAAGAUCCUUUGCGCACCGGUAACGUAGUGAAACGGGUAAAAUUUUUAAGUGCUCAAAAAUGGGCCAAUCUUUACAGUGAAUGUCUAUAACCCUUACAGUAAAUUUUUCUGUGUUCAAAACCUGACCCCAUUUUAGCGUAGGAAACCUAAAACUUUUACUUUUUUAACUUUUAUUCCUGAAAUUGACAUGUUUAUUAAAGAGGACUUAAAAAUUUUCUUUCACUAUUUUAAUAUUUUAUCUGUUAAAUUCAUGAUAAAUAAUUUUGUUAGGAAUGUCUUUCUUUUAAAUAAGUAUUUUUAUCGAUAUAAAUCAAUAUACUAUCAAAUUGGCAUAAUUUAAGCGUUCUUCAGAAAACCCUAGAAAUUCACAUCACGCAUAAUAAAGCCUUAUAAGUCAAACAUAAGACUUAUGCAGAUUUGGAGAGAAUAUUAUGGGUUAUCUCGAUAAAAGUAUGUAAGUGAUCAAUAAAAUCAAUCUUAUGGGUCAUAUCGGUCAUUAUUAUUUUUAAAAUAUAUAAAAGUUAGGACUCUUUUUCUUUUUUUUGCCUUAUACCUGAAAGAGCACUGUAUCAUUGAAGAACGUAAAUUUGGUUUUUACCCAAAGAGCACUGUAUGUUGCAGAACGUAUAUCUGGUUCUUACGCAUAAGAGCACUGUAUCGUUGAAGAAUGUAUAUUUGGUUAUUUUAUACGCUCUGAAGGCAAACAGGUUAUGUCUAUCUUUAUAGGCAUCAUAUGUUAUAAAUGCUUAAUAAAUGGACCAAGUUUGAAAGAAAUAUCUUCCGUUAUUUUUCAAGAAAUAUUAGUUUUCAUGUCGAAAGCCCAAUAGGAAAAUGUUACCAGCCUGAUCAAAAUACAAUGUAAGUUAUGUACAUUUCUGUGAAUGGCUUGAACAUGAUGUGGUUUUA